rnacentral:lncRNA from 1 species
CAGCAUGAUCGCCGGCCAGACCCUGCAGACCCUGGCCCUUCAGGGCGGCGUCGUCAACCUGGCCGCCAUCCCUGGCUUCUUCCUGCCCCCCAGCUGCAAGACCACCUCCCGCCCUCCCUCGCCGCCUCUGCCUCCCUCGCCGCCCCCGCAGCCGCCCAGCCCGCUGCCCCCCAGCCCGGCGCCUCUGCCCCCCUCCCCUCCUCCGUCUCCCCUGCCCCCGAGCCCCAAGCCUCCUACUCCCCCCAGCCCCCUGCCGCCUGCUCCCCCGACCCAGCAGUUCACUGGCUCUGUCUUCGUCUACGCUCCUAACCGCCCUAACGGCUUCAACCAGGACGACGUGACCAAGGUGUACGCCAUGAUGC